GAUGAACGCUGGCGGCGUGCCUAAUACAUGCAAGUCGAGCGAACAGACGAGGAGCUUGCUCCUCUGACGUUAGCGGCGGACGGGUGAGUAACACGUGGAUAACCUACCUAUAAGACUGGAUAACUUUGGGAAACCGGAGGUAAUACCGGAUAAUAUAUUUAACCGCAUGGUUUAAUAGUGAAAGACGGUUUUGCUGUCACCUAUAGAUGGAUCCGCGCCGCAUUAGCUAGUUGGUAAGGUAACGGCUUACCAAGGCAACGAUGCGUAGCCGACCUGAGAGGGUGAUCGGCCACACUGGAACUGAGACACGGUCCAGACUCCUACGGGAGGCAGCAGUAGGGAAUCUUCCGCAAUGGGCGAAAGCCUGACGGAGCAACGCCGCGUGAGUGAUGAAGGUCUUCGGAUCGUAAAACUCUGUUAUUAGGGAAGAACAAAUGUGUAAGUAACUAUGCACGUCUUGACGGUACCUAAUCAGAAAGCCACGGCUAACUACGUG
rnacentral:rRNA from 1 species